GCAAAACAAUAACCAAAAAUAUAAUGAAAUGAUUAGUAUGAUAUGCUGUAAUAAAAGUUGUUUUCAAUGUAUUAUUUACUUAUCUAUUUUUUCAUUUAAUAUUUUCAGGCUAACAUUGACUGUAGAUAGCUAAAACUACACAAAGCAAAACUUUCAGAUAAAACAAGACCUUUCAGAAUUACUUGUAAUGAAAGUAUUUGUCAAUCACUGUAUUUUUUUUAAGCCUAACACAAGGUCCCUACAAUGAAAUCAAUAAACAUUCUCUGAAUUCAAGAAAAAUGAGUGAAAGAAUAAUUUGUAUGUAUGUAAGGCAGUGUAAGUCACAGGAGUUGGAUGACUACAAAAUUUGUUAGAGACAAAAAUCUGAAUAUAAAUUGUUUUAAAGAUAAAUUUUAUUUUGUAGAGUUAUCUCUUGUAACAGGAUUCUCCUACAUUAGGAUUUGCUGGGAUAUUUUAUUUUUUAGAAAAUGAAGAUUGCUGGGUCUUUUGGGUUUGAGGCAAGGAAUCAACAGCUUUUCUAAUCUAAGGGAAAUACUGCUAAAAGCUAUGCCCGGUCCUUAAAAUCUUUUUAAACUUCUUUGGAGUGCUCGGUAUCUUGGAGGAUCUGUCAAAAGCUGUAAAUGUUCUUAGGCAAUUGUACACACAUGAUCAGUUUUGCUAAAAAUUCCAGGAAAAUCACAAACCCUUGUGACUGACUCAUUGUCUCAGGUCACUGUCAACUAACUUACAGAAAGACAGUAAGAAUCAUUGUUACUAAGACAUAGCCAGAAAGACUAAGUGAACUGAACAAUGUAGUUUCUUCUAGGCAACUUUGUCUAGAAUCUACCCAGUCUUACCCUGUCAAUGUUUACUACAAAAAAGACAUCUUCCAUUUGAAAGAAUUUAUGUUGUGGUCCAAGAUUUAAUGGAAAACUGAAAUGUUUCAAAAGGAAGGAAAUGUUUCUUGAAUAUUUAGGAAUCAAUACUUUAUUUCAUCCUGUCUCAAAUAACAGAUGAAGUUGAUGGUGUUCUAGAAAAUUUAUGAGUUAACUGUUUAUCUGUUUAUAUACCUAAUAUUUCACAAAGUUAGAUUACAUCUAAAAAUCUUGGUAUCUUUCUGAUAAUCUAGCAUUUACAAAAGACAAAAUGGUUCCAUUCUCACUAAAAUUGAGAGCCUUGUCUGCAAAAAGCAACUAAAAUGGUCUAUUGCCGGAGAUAUGUCACAUGGAACAAGAUAAAGCCUAUAAAAACAGUCCUUCAGGAAAGUCAUGGCUGAACUCUAAGGACCUAGAUUAUUUAAUGCAAACAUUGUGUGUGACUUUGGAGAUUGGGGUAGGCUUCCCUAUAGUCAUUUAAGCAAGCUUGUUUAUGCAAAACCAAUGUAGAAACAGAGUUCAAAACUACAAUUUGCUUUCUUUGUACCUAGGGCAGAAUCACUGAACUUCAUCCAAAAUUGGAGCAGAGUCAGAAUCUGACUCUGUGGUGAGGGAGGGAGUACUUAACUCUGAGUGACAGAGUAUGCUGCAGUACAUGGAAAUGCUUUAUGAACUGCGGAGCAUUACACAGUAAAGGAGCUCACAGCAUAGUUCACAGCGCGUAAUAGUGUUCUGUAAGCUUGUAAUCACUAUUAACAAACAGUGGCAUAGGAUAACUCUCAGUUUACAUCUUGUUCUUUUGGUGAAUAUUCCUUUGGAAGUUAGUUGGUAAAUACUGCCCCUAUUUCUUUCAUGUGUAUGAAAAUUUAAUGUUAUAUGAGUGAACUACAACUUUGUUUUUCAUUUUUCUAAAGGAAGGCAUAUAGAUUAUUUUCAAUUGUUUGUUAUGACCAACUUUUCAACAAACAUUCUUUGCAUAUCUCCUUGUGCACAGGUGGCCAGAUUUCUGUAGGGUUUGUAUUAGAAAUGGAUUUGCUGAGAAAUAGCACAUUUUGCUAAACUAAUGUCAAUUUUUUUCAAAUUAGGCACAGUUAUGUAAGAGUUGCAUUUGCAUUACUUUGCUGGUUAGUGUCAGAUUUAGAGAUAUAUUUUUUAAAAAUUUUCUUAUUAUUGAUAAAGUUUUGCAUGUCCCUACUAUACAUUGUCUCUAGAGGCGUAUUCUCCCUGAAUUUCUUGUUAAUACCCUAUUCCCAUAUUUAUAGAUGCCAAGUGCUAAUCUUGGGAUCUGUAGGUUUAUAGAAAUAAACAAAACAAAGCACUGCCCUCAUGAAACUUAUUUGGUAGCAAGAGACAAAUUUAACAAACAGGUAAUUUUUGUAGUAUGCAAAAGACUAACAUCUGCUGUAUAAAGACAAAGUACAAUGUAUGGGGUAGGCAGCAGAAGUCAUAUAGGUAUAUAGCUCAAGGUAGAGUCAAGACGAUGAGGAGCUUCAGAACGAGAAAAGCCCCUGGGCUGGGGUUGGAGAGACAGAAAGAAGAGAUGCAGAGAUGAAGCCAGGAAAGUGGAUACUCCAGAUACUCUAUUCUUGCAUACAUUUGCAUAUUUUUCCCCUUCACAUGAUGGUAAGACACAUAGUUCAGUCUCUAAAUGAGUUCUAUCCAUUUGGAAAUUAAAGCAGCAAUUUAAAUAUUUAAAUUCUGAAUUGUUCAAAGGCAGUCUUCAUCAAGGGAUGACUGAUAGUUUUUCUCUAGCCAUUCAAAAGUGAAAUACUAUGUGUAUUUUUCCUUAGCUGGGAAGUUUAUCUUAUUACAUAUUGCCUUAGGUACAGUUUAUUUUAAACAAAGUUCAAACAAACAUAUUAGGACAAACUAUUUCAGUGCUGGAUUAUAAUAAAUUGGUAGGCAUAUUAUCAUUUGCUAUAAAAAAUGUCCACACCUGAAACAGGGCACCUUGGCCUGAGGGUGAACCCGACUCCCCAGGCCUUGUGCAGUGACGCAGGUCAUCCUGAGUCCGGACAGAGUUCCCUUCCAGCUUUGUCCUCACAGGAUGGUGCGGGGUCCCCCGCAGUUGCAAUUACCAAAGAAUAAGGACUGACGAAGUAUGUAUGUGGGAUGCGUGUGGGUAACUGCAUCCAACUGGAAUAACCAUUUUCUUAUCGAUCAUUUUAUAACAACGAGAGCAAAAAGGCAAAGAAAAACAUGCAAAACAUGCAAAACAAACUGCUUUAAAAUGACGUCUGUAAAGCUCUGUAAAGUCCACCUCUAUAGUUUCAUUUAUUAGAGAAUUAAAUCAGAAAAUAAAAACAGUGCCCUAGCACAUUUCCCCUCAGAGGAACACAGCCUAACAGAAACAGCAAUUUUCAGUACUUGUGUAGAAAAAUGUUUACCUCUCCAAGAAAAUGUCCUCAAUUUCCUAGGCUAACUUCACUUCCCCUUCUAGCACAUGAAGUUUAACUGGAAAUAUUAGUGUUUUCUUUCCAUUUAAUAAUAUUUCUGCAUAAAAUUUAAAAGGAGGGUUGCAAAGGAAGUUCGUCUGGUUGGUUCUCUUUGGCAUGGGCGAAAACGGCCAUCAGCUCGCGCGAGGCGUUAAAGGGUUAACUCCAGAGUUCCAAGCCGCCCCGCCCCACCAGGGCCCCCCGAAGGCGCCUGCUGAACAUGUGCUCUCCUGAAGCGAACCCUGAAACUGAAUCCCUGAACACGCUCAGCCUUUGGUGCCAGACUUGUACUGUGACUUUCAAACUUCUGCCAUGGCCGUUGCAAUGUAAAUAGGAAAUUCUAAUGCGAUUUGGAUCGCCCUUUGGGGACUUUCACGCUGAAAGACGGCGCGUUUCCAGGGCAGCCCGGAGUGCGCGCGGAGCAGCGACCUCUGCAGCCGCAGCAGCAGCAGCCGGCUGCAGACAGGCCGGGACUCUGCAGGCCUUCCCCGGACCAGGGCCUUGGCGGGGACACAGCCAUGUGUAGUUCUGAAAUAUGUCCUCUUGUUAGCGAUGUUUUAGAUUAAACCAUGAACGUGACUCAGUUCCGAGGUGACCGCCUGCACGAUCCUGCUGUGGAGGGCGGCUUAAGCAACAGGCCUUUGCGACCUUUAGAAGCCAGCAUUUCAGGUCACCGCAGCAUCUCGUGCUCUCCUAGCAAACGUGCUCUCCUAGCAAACAGACGUCCUUGGGCUUUCCCCAUGAAAAGUCAUCCAGUACACAGAAAACCGAGACCGGCAAAAUGCAGAAAUAAGCGGCUGUGCAAAUGCAUUCUCACAUCGCUCACUAGGGGGCAACAGUUCCCGCCUUUAUUGUGAGUGGACCAAGUCUCAAAACACCACAAAAGUAAACGCUGUGAUCCCUCAAACUCUUUGUUUUAUAGUAUGUAUAUCACAAAUAUACGGUAAUAAGAAUAAAUUUUUAAAUAAAUUUCAAAGUGUGUAGACUAAAAGGAAACUUCUGUGGGUUUCUCCUUUCGGCCCACCUUCCACCUUUCUCAUUUCACCGUUAAGCUCCGCACAUUUUAUACACGUGUGACUUAACUAAACAUUUCCUUUAUGUUUUAUUUGUGUGUACAUUAAGCUAUAUGCCACAGAUACGUUUCCAGUCUACACAUGCCCCUUUUUCCUCAGGUUGUAAAGUAUCUUGUUUACUGUCUCUAAAAUGAUUUAAUAAACCCCCAUAAGUGAUGCUUAGAUCAUUUUCAGCAUUUUGAACAAUGCUGUAGUGAAUAAUUGUUUCUUUCUUUACGCUUUUAUCUGCAGGUUAAAAUCCCCAGAUACGUAAUUGCCAGGCUCAUUUAAAAAUAUAAUCACCAUUGCAAAUUAUCUGUCCCCAACAGAAAAGAUGCCACCAAUUUACACAAACACCGGCUGCAGGUGAGACAUCAACCAUGAUGCUCUGUAUGUCAAACCUUGCAACAAUCCCAAUCUAUCAAAAAAUAAUAUUAUGAUAGCGGUUUUUAAAACUUCUGGGACUAUACUGACUUCCACUAAUGAAUUAACUAAUUCAGUUUAAUAUUUUUAAGCUCGUAAAAAUUUGUUUUGCAGCACAAAUAUCAGAAAAGACAUUUGUCAAACUGACCUAGCUUCCAUGAACAAUAAAAAGUUUUGUAUCUAAAUAAAUACUUCUUCCCCCACAAUACCUUUAUAUAUUUAAAAAAAGUUUGAUUAUUUUGAAAACACUAAAAAAUCUGCAUAGACAUUAUUAUUUCUAUCAUACAGAUGAGACCAAAAUCCUUGUACAAUUUUCUUUUUUAUUGUUAUUAUGACGUGAUAUUAAUUUUUAAAAUUUCAGAACAGAAUCUUCAAGUUUCUAAAUUUUAUUUAUCAUUCUAAGCCUGUUUCUUUUUGGAGAUAAUCACAAUUUUCCUGUUCUUUUUUUUCCAUGCUAAACUAUAGCACCCACACUUUCCUCUCUGAUUUUAGCAAAAAAAAACAAGAUGCCUAGAAAUGAAAUGUCAAGAAUAUUUCCCAUUUUUAUUGCUGAGUUAAAUACUUAAACUAGCAGGUUGAAAAUAAUUAUAAUAAAAGUUGGUUACUUCUUUUGUCCAUUUUCUUUUGAGGAAGAGAUGACUACUUUGUGUGUGUGUGGUAGGCAGGUAUUUCCCGAAUGACUGACAAGCACUCCACCAAAGGGCACCAGUCCACUUUAGAACACGGCCAAGCAGGCAGUCGCCUGGCAGGUCGCCGCUUCUUCCUCGCACCACCCACGUUUGGUUUUGCCCCAGCAAUUUCCCCAGGAAGGGAAAUACCCUGAACUUCUGUUGGUUGAACUAACAGGUGCAGUGAGUGCGCGUAACACAGGAAAUUUUAAAGAAAGCGUCUCUCCUGGGGAUACUUUAGGGAACGAUGCGCAGAUGCGUUUUCAAGCGCAGAAUACUUCAUGGGUGAUUUCUACGCUAACGAACUUGGACCAGCUUUCGCUUGGUGUAAGAGCAAAACCACGAAUAAUAAGGUGCAGUUCGGUAUAGUAAAGUAUCCCUGUUUCUUUUAAUAUAAUGGCUUAUUUAUUUUUCUGCGGACAAACUGUCAUUUUGUUUCGUGACCGCCCAUACAAUCAAGCUUUAGGAGAAAAUGCUUUAAACGUGUUGUAGCAGUGUUUUGGGCAGCUUCGUUCAUCUCUGGCAGGUGCUAACUGGGAAAAGCAACCCUUCUCCGUGUCCUCUACCACAAAAGGCUCAACUUAAUCUUCCAAGGAAAACCCAUUGCACUUUACAGUUCCUGAGAUGCCAAGCAUUCAUUUCUUUGCGGUGUUGAAGAAAAAUGAAUCACCAUUUGGAUUUUAAGACUGGCCUAGAGAACCAGAAACAUUGUUUCAAGAAACAAUCAAAUCAGCAGCUGACAUCAUAGGUCUUCCUGAAAGAGAGGAAAGAGAUGCAGAGCAAAGAUAAGACCCAAAAAAUGACUAAAUGCUGGAGACCUGGUAAUCAUAGCUCUGACCAAAGCAAUCUGCAGCUCCUUGAACUUGGAGAGAGACCCAGUCAUUCUGAUGCCUGACUCCCAUAUAUUUACUCUCUGAAUGAGGUACAAAGAUCCGGGUGAGCUAAUGCAUCAAGCCAUGAAAAAUGAACAAUUAAAACAAUGAAGUUGUCAGUUCUUUUACCAGAUUGCAAAUAAAUAACCUUCCUGUCAGGCUGGCUGUUCUGCUGGAUCAUUAGUUUAAUACAAAGACAUUCUGAGGAGGGAUGGAUGACAGCUGAUCUAUGACUCCAGUGGGUCCAGGGUUUUUGAUGAAGACCUGAGCAAAAGAUGUUGCCAUAAACCGUGAAAGGUCAGUCCCAAUUUGUGAAAAGUACAAUGUUAGACAAAAUUUAAAUACACCUCUUUGCCAACUAGGAAAGCUGUACUUUUAAAAAACUUAAUUAUUGUGUGUGAUGGGGGAUGCUUCUUUUAACAAUCCCAAACACUUUUCUUUCUGCUUCUGCUUAUUUGGCCUGUCAGGAACACUUGUGCUAGUGUAGAUGCCCGUGGAGUCUGUAAGUACCACCAAGAAGGGACUGAGUCUUGGGACUGUACAAUAAUCUUCUUGCCAGGCCAGACAGAGUCAUCCUGAAAA